UACGUAGGGGGCAAGCGUUGUCCGGAUUUAUUGGGCGUAAAGAGCGUGUAGGCGGCUUUACAGGUCCGUUGUGAAAACUCGAGGCUCAACCUCGAGACGCCGGUGGAAACCGUAAAGCUAGAGUCCGGAAGAGGAGAGUGGAAUUCCUGGUGUAGCGGUGAAAUGCGCAGAUAUCAGGAAGAACACCAGUGGCGAAGGCGGCUCACUGGCCCGAUACUGACGCUGAGGCACGAAAGCGUGGGGAGCAAACAGG
rnacentral:rRNA from 1 species